CGAACGAUGAACCCGCUUGCGGGGGAUUAGUGGCGAACGGGUGAGUAACACGUGAGUAACCUGCCCUUAACUCUGGGAUAAGCCUUGGAAACGGGGUCUAAUACUGGAUAUUGACUUUACCUCGCAUGGGGUUUUGUUGAAAGAUUUAUUGGUUUUGGAUGGACUCGCGGCCUAUCAGCUUGUUGGUGAGGUAAUGGCUCACCAAGGCGACGACGGGUAGCCGGCCUGAGAGGGUGACCGGCCACACUGGGACUGAGACACGGCCCAGACUCCUACGGGAGGCAGCAGUGGGGAAUAUUGCACAAUGGGCGAAAGCCUGAUGCAGCGACGCCGCGUGAGGGAUGACGGCCUUCGGGUUGUAAACCUCUUUCAGUAGGGAACAAGGCCAGCAUUUUUGUUGGUUGAGGGUACUUGCAGAAGAAGCGCCGGCUAACUACGUGCCAGCAGCCGCGGUAAUACGUAGGGCGCAAGCGUUAUCCGGAAUUAUUGGGCGUAAAGAGCUCGUAGGCGGUUUGUCGCGUCUGCCGUGAAAGUCCGGGGCUCAACUCCGGAUCUGCGGUGGGUACGGGCAGACUAGAGUGAUGUAGGGGAGACUGGAAUUCCUGGUGUAGCGGUGAAAUGCGCAGAUAUCAGGAGGAACACCGAUGGCGAAGGCAGGUCUCUGGGCAUUAACUGACGCUGAGGAGCGAAAGCAUGGGGAGCGAACAGGAUUAGAUACCCUGGUAGUCCAUGCCGUAAACGUUGGGCACUAGGUGUGGGGGACAUUCCACGUUUUCCGCGCCGUAGCUAACGCAUUAAGUGCCCCGCCUGGGGAGU
rnacentral:rRNA from 1 species